rnacentral:rRNA from 1 species
CAGUAGCCACGGGAAUACGUAGGUGGCAAGCGUUGUCCGGAAUUAUUGGGCGUAAGGGGCUCGCAGGCGGUUUCUUAAGUCUGAUGUGAAAGCCCCCGGCUCAACCGGGGAGGGUCAUUGGAAACUGGGAAACUUGAGUGCAGAAGAGGAGAGUGGAAUUCCACGUGUAGCGGUGAAAUGCGUAGAGAUGUGGAGGAACACCAGUGGCGAAGGCGACUCUCUGGUCUGUAACUGACGCUGAGGAGCGAAAGCGUGGGGAGCGAACAGGAUUAGAUACCCGCGUAGUCCCUGUCUCUUAUAC